rnacentral:lncRNA from 1 species
CUCUACACCGUGUGGAGAGUGGUCAGAGGCAGUUUUUCUUGGCUGGGGUUGCUUAGAGACUUGUGGGGUGAGGAAGGCCCAGUUAUCGCGACUUCUAGGUUGAGAGUAUUGUUUUCAGUGGGAGAUAAGGUGGUGUUUUUGUUUUUUUGUUGUUUGUUGCAGUGCUGGGUAUGUAACUCAGGGCCCUUAUGCAUGCUAGGCAAGUGCUCUACCAUUAAGCUAUACCCCCAGCUCCAACACAGCUUGAAAUGUGUGGGGAAUGUCCUGAAGUCUGUUUGGCUAGAGUGUAGUAAGUACGGGGAAGUAUAUGCUUUGGAGCUGGAUGGUCCUGAUUUGGCGUCUUGUGGGCCAUGAUGAGCAGUUUAGAUUUUAUUCAAAGUACAAUGAGAGACAUUUACAUGUUUUAAGAAGGGGAGUGAUAAGAACUACUUUACUGUUUAGUAACUAGCUAUGUGAUUUCGGGCGACUUGAGAUGGCUAUAUUAGUUAUUUACUGCCAUGGACUUUGUUUC